AUGAGAGGAGGAAAACAUGUAUUCUUAAGUCUUCAAUUUAAUAUUUUUACAGUGAUAUGUAUAACGAGUGGAAGAUUGAACUGAAAGCUAUGGCAGACUGAAUUAUUAGCAUGCAGAAACAACUAUUUGAUGCUUUAAGUGCUAAAGGUACUCCAGGUGACUGGAGUCACAUUAUAAAGCAGAUUGGAAUGUCUACUUUCAUAGGAUUAAUCAGGACAAGAACAAAUACAACACCCCAAAAUAUCGUUUAUGUUUUUUAUGGUGAAUAAUUUCUGUUUGGGUUGAGGGUAUACUGUUUAGACAUAUAGGUUGCUUAAUGUGCUGAAAUACCUAGGUUAAUUCAAAAUGUGAUUAUUUGUUCUUUAGCGGGUUGCUAGUUAAUACUUUAAACCUUAACAUAUUUAUUAGACCAACAAGGAUAUAAUUGCACAAAUCAUACAUGCUAGUAUUUCUGGUGAUAUAGUUCUUGCAGCAGCUUACAAACAUGCUAGUAAUUAAAACUGUUUCUUACUUGGUUGUAAGUUCUCCUCUUCGGAAUACCAUCUUCAAGCAUUGUAACACAAAUUUCUACCAUAAAACCUUAUGGAUAUCCUAUGUUGUAUGCUGGUUUAAUAGCAAGAAAAACCCAAGAUUCCUUUGUAGCUUUAGAUCGUCUAUGCGUUUAUCUGAAAUUAUGAUUGUGGCUAUGUUUAAAUUUCAAUGGUCCUUUUUGUACUUGACGUAUUAUGAUUGUAGCUGUAGUUCGUAACACUCCCUAAUUAUUCAUCUCUUUUGCAUAUAAGCUCAUCAUUCCAUGCUUGUUUUCCAUAUAAUAUUUUAUGGUUUUAUAGUCGAACCUCUGAUUUUGCCCUUUUCGACAGAGGGGAAACUUUAGGUGCAGUACAAGUUCAAUAGGAGUGCAAUCCCAACUUGAGAAGCUUCCAAACUUUUGAAAGUCGAAGUUACCGAUUGCUCCCAAGAACUAACCAAGGGAGUUAAUUAUAUUCGCAAUAUGAUUCAAUCAAGUUUGGAUAAGCGGCUUGCUAUGUGGGAGAAGUACUGUCUUUGCCAUUGUUUUACGGUUCCUGAAGGUUUUUCUUUGCCCAAAAAU